AGUUUUGAGAAUGCUUGGUAGAUAAAUGGAAACAAUCCAGACUAUUAGGAAUGGCAAUCAUACAAAAACCUGUAGGAGAACAUUCACCUACUGGCCACCCUAUAAGCAGAUCUUAAAGUGGCCAUCCUGCAUGC